UAAUUGUCAAAAAUAUGUCAGUCUACUUUUAUACAAAUUGAAGUCCAUUUAGAAGUGUCCUGCUCAGUUUUAGUAUUAAAUCAGAACAUCCACAAAAUGUUUUCUGUCUUGGGAGGCCCUCCAUGCCCAGUGCUACCUCUUUUCUCCAGCUCCUCAUCCCCUCCCUCCAAUCCCAAAUAUUCUCUUUUGGAGUAAUGUUUUCCUGUUUCUUUAUUCUUUUACUGUGAUGCUAUCAAAGACAAUAUCAUAACCAAAGAGAUAUGAUAUUAAUCAGGAUAAUCAAUGCUAGCUACUGUAAGAAACAAAGACCAGUUUUUAGUGGCUUAACAUCAUUUAGGUUUAUUUCUUUUUUUGCAAAAUCUAACAUACCUCCCCUCCAAGAAGGGACUCAGGAGUCCCAGCUCCUUCUAUCCUGUAGCAUCAUCUUUAAGAUCCUCAGAAUUCUUCAUUUCCAACAGGGCAGCCUUGGAAAGAGAGAAAGCAUGGAAAUCUUCCUGAAAUCUGUGUGAUCAGAACUAGAAGUUCACUGACCAGGACGCAGUCACAUGACCCUACCUGGGUACAAGAAGGGCUAGGAAAUAUGUUGAAUUGUGUGCUAUAAAGGAGCGGAUCUAGGUAAACACCAAGAGCCUAUACCAUAUAGAGAUCCUCUCAAUUCUUGCUAUAAUCAUACCAUCUCUGGUGACCAAUCAUUAUCUAGGACAUGUUUUAAUGUCCACCCUGCUCUUAGCAUCCCAACCACCCUGUGCCCCUCUCUAUCUUAUCUUUCUACCAUUUUAACUCACCCAAAGCUACUCUUCCCACAAUCCUCGUAAAUUACUUCCUGACAACCCUCACCACUGCAUUUGAAAUUUCAGGCAGGAAUCAAAUGCUUCCAAAGUAAUAUCCUUGCCCCAGAUUGUGUUCAUCCCUUCAAUGUCUGUAAAGAAUAAAAAAUGAGGGAAAAAUAAGCCAGUAGAAUCAUCACCAGCCACCAGAGGAAACCAUCAAUACUAAGAGUAAGAACCAAUAAAAGUGGCUAUGAUGAAAAUACUAGGGCAGAUAGAAGCUGAAAUAAGAACCUAGGGUUUUUCUUAAAAGACUAACAUAAUAAUGUUUGAUACUCUGAUUUACAAUCUUUCAGAAUUCCCUGAGAUGAAAAGGUAAAUCAUCGGUGCCAGAAUAGAGCGCCUAGGGGUAGAUACUAGAGUUAUGAAAGAAGUGUUCCACACAACAAGCUGCAUGAGGAAACAUCUUGCACUUUUCAGACCUGAGGUCAGUGACCCAAAGAUGAGUCGAAAUAUUCCGAAAAACAAUCUCUUACACCAGACGUCACUACUAAACCAGAUAUUUUUCUUCCCCGAAACAAAAGAAAAAAAAAAACUCCAUGAUGAAAAGACCUCACAGCUCUUCUGGAAUUCAGAAUCAUCCAAGCACUGCUAGAAAAAUAAAUAGAGGGUGGUACUACUGGAUUUUUUCCUGGUCUUUGCUUGUAUCUAUCAAAUGAAUCAUAUAUGGCAAAAUUAAAAUGUUCCUAUUUGACUUAAUGAUAAUAAUCAAUUUUCUUUAGAGGGCAUGCUCUAGUUUUUCAAAUUUGUCUUGGUUUAUCAUAUUAACUUUAUCUGUAUCUCCUCAAUAACCCAUGGGAGUACAACAGUCCUUUUGACUUAAAUUGACUUACAGUUCCUAUUGAAACUUUUUUUAAAUCAAAAUUAUUCUAAAGCUGUACACCAGGUCAGAUUUUUCUUGGCUUAAUAGGGCAAUGGUAGGUAUUAUAAUUAAAAGUGAAGCAACAACUUAGAUCAGAAUAAAAAAUUUUCCCUGUCUCUUUCACUUACAGGAAAUCAUAGAUUAUUCUUUUCCAAAGGUUAAAAAAAAAACUAGUGUGAGUAAUAAGACAAAUUUUUAUACAAAUAACCAAUAACAUGAGCUAGACAGAUGUUGUUUAUAAAUUCUUUCACUCGUGCCAUUUCUCUGGGAAGUUAUUCAAUUUAGGAAAAAGAAAAUCAUUUAAAGUGCAAAAGAAUAGAUGCUUUGCCAUUAGGACCUUAUUAUAAUAUGCAACAGACAAAGUUCAAGUCAUUUUUAAUGUUAAGUCUAAACUGUAAGAUCAUGAAGACUAUUCUUUUGGUGGCAGAAAGAUCCACCUGAAACCAGAUUUAGUGAUAAGGGGAAAUUGAAAAUUUGUUAUAAAAUCACAGGUCAUAUUAUGGCACUCUAAUCUCUCUUCCUUCAGACUAGAUUUCUGUGCUUCCUGGGUAGAUGUGGAAGAAAAUGUGUAACCAACCUAUCCUCUGUUUAAGAGAGCACCUCAACGGAGACCCCAUUCUUAAUUUCUACAAAGGAAUCUCAGGUCGUUCCAGUUUGAAUCAGGUUUUCAACCUCUAAUUCAAUCAACUUUGGCAAGGGCUGGAGCAUUUCAUACAAAUGAGGAUUAAAGGCCCACUGUUGGUACAGCUCAAGGAACACAGAAUAUAUCGUAAGAAACCAAGGCUAGCAUUAAAACCUGGAAAAGUAAGCUUUGCACAAUGAUUGAUCAAGCACCUUAAUUAAAAUGUUGUGUUACUCUGUCUGAUUAACUGAACUUUGGUAGCAUGUUACAUGCUAUCUAAAUGAGCUACUUAAAUACCCAGGUUAAUGUAUUAGUUACAUCACUGGCUUCCUCAGACAAAUUAGAACCACGAGGAGGCUUCCCAAGGACAUGGAUCCUCUAUCUACCCAUCUGUUUGCCUAUCUCUAUCUAUCUAUUUAUCUAUCUAUCAUCUACCUAUCCAUGUAUUUCUAAUCCACUGUUCUGUGCUGCCAUGUGGGCUCCAAAUUGCUUGGCUUUAGGGCACUCAAUUCACAAAGACUAUGAUGUGGCUAUUAUCCUCUAGUUCUACUAUACAACAGUUCCCUUCAUAUGACAGAAUAUUUUGAGCCUUUCAUAGUUGAUGUUUUUUGUGCUAUAACCGACUUCAACUGUGUUGCAAACUCGUGGAGGCUGAGGAUCAUGUAUUACUGUAAUAGUUAUCUGUUGCUGUACAAGUUACGCAAAAGCUUAGAAUCUUAACACACAUUAUUAUCUCAUACAAUUUCCGAAGGCCAGGAAUCUGGGAGUGGCUUGGCUAGGAGCUUCUAGCUCAAGUGAUCUCAUGGGAAUGCCCUCAAGCGAUCAGUCAGGGAUGGACCUCAUAGGAAGUCAUCUGAGGGGUUGACCUGACCUAGAGAAUCCACUUCCAAGAUGGCUGGCUCAGAUCGCUGGUGACAGAAGGCCUCCAUUUUUUACAACAUUGGCUUUGCAGGGCUGCCCGAGUGUCCUAAUGUAUUUCAGCUGUUUUCCAUAGAGGGCAUGCUAUGCACUCGAGAGAUGGUAAGAGUACCACAGGGCCCUUUCACACCUCCAAAUUCAUACUCCACACCUUCUGCUUUAUUCUUUCUAGAGAAUCGAGUCAUUAAAUCCAUCCUCAAGGGGAGAGAACUUAGGUUUGACCCCAUGAAGGAAGGAAUAUCAAAGAAUCUGUAAAUGUGUUUUUAAAUCCACCAUUAGUUUGUUAAUGACUUCAGACUUUACCUUUGAGCCUAUACUCAAUUUUUAUUUUUUUGAUUGAUUGCAUUGUAUAAUUCACCAGCGUGAGGUAGAGGAGUGUGAUGAUGUGAUCUAUAGUAAGAAAUACAUAUUUGGUCUUCAUCUUAUUUCCAGCACAGAGCUCCUUUGGUGAGGAGAGCAACAAAAGUGUGACUUGUUAUGUUAAUGAGGUGACUUUGAGACCCGACUUAAGGAUGAGGGCAGGGAGGGGAGAGGGUCCACAGGUUGAGUCAAUCAGUAAUGGCCAAUGAUUUAAUUACUUUUGCCUGUCUGUAUAAAGAAGCCUCCCUUAAAGGUCCCAAAGAAGCGUUCGAAGAGUGCCCGGGCUGGUGAACACAGGGGGAUUCUGGGACAGUGAUGCUCCAGGAGAGAACACGGACGUGCCACACCUGUUCCCUGCCCCUUCUCUAUAUGUCUCUCCGUCUGGCUGUUCCAGAGUUAUUUCCUUUUAUAAUAAACCUGUGACCUGUCCCUUAGGCAAGGAGAGCUCAAUGUGUGAAAAGGAUGAGAGGUGGAAUGAACAAAUGACAGGCUGAUGAAUGAACAAAUGAAUGAAUGAAUUAUUGGUAUAUAAAUUACAAGAAGAAAGUCUCUCCACCUGGAAUUUACUUUUCCUGCUUUUCUACUAAGUUUUGUGCUGCUGGUCCUACUGGCUCUGAAGAUCACACAGUGGUUAGUGCAGAAGGGACUUUCCCUGUGGAACUCUCUGUGAGAAAUGGUCUCAUUUCAGAGCCAAAGAACUGGAAGCUGCCAAAUGAUGCUGAGCAAUGGAAAGAGAGGCCUCGCUUACACCUCAUAAUGGAAGAGUUUGUUCCCUAUCCCCAGGCUUUUUCACCUUCGGUGCCUUUACCUAUUGCAACCAUCCCUCAUUCUUAUACAUAUUUUCAAGUGUUUCUUCUUCCUAAGAGAAUUCUUUCUUUCUGUCUUCAGCCAUUUUGCAAAAUUUCUGGAAAGAAUAGUAACAUUUGAUGCUUCCACAUCUUUGCACUUAUCAGUCACCAUAAUCUGGGCUUUCCUCCAUUUUUUUGUUUGUUUGUUUGUUUUUUCAGUCACACAUGUUGUCAUGAAAUCACACUUCAUGAGAAUUCUUUGAGUUUAGAUCAUCAAGGAAGGGUACAUUUAGAAAUUUGAAGUGAAUAACACUAUUUUUGGCUCUUUCCAACAACACCUUUGUGUAACCUGCCCUGUCACAGCUCUACUGUUACUAGGAAAAUGAUGGCUGUAAGUGUGCCUGGUUCCGUCAUUUGUGAUUAAGAUGACAAAGGCAGAAACCUUAUGAAUGAAUCAACUUGGAUUACUGUCUCUGCUGGUCACAGUGGAAAACAGAAGAGGGAAGAGAUUUCUGAGGGACUCAGGCUGUUAUUACAAGGUUUCAUACUGUCAAAAAUCAGAUAUGCACCCAGAAUCCAGUACAAUAAAGGAAAAGCUUUCUUGCA